AAAACCUUAUUUAGAUAACAAGUGAGAUUAUGAUUAAAAUAUUUCCCCUGAAACAAAAAUUCAUGCGGUUGUUGUCAUCAAGACGAAAGGAAAUAAAAACAAACUGAAUAUAAUAAAUAAUUUGGAACAAAAGUAAUUUUAUCGUUUUAACAACUUAAAAUUAAUGGUUUUGUACCAGCAUUGAAACACUGAGUAUUAACGUCUUCUAUGUGUUUGUAUGUGUAUUUGUGGUUUGGUUACAUGUGCUAAUAUUCAUGAAAAAAGACUUUUUCGCUAUAAUUUGGAAACAAAGUUAUCAAAAAUGCCAUUAUUAAACAAAAAACUUUUUUUUUGAUCCAAAAGUGUUUGUUUGUGUUAGUUCGUGCGUUUCGUGGUGUGCAGUAGCUUGUGCGUACAAAGUGGUAUCUCCAAUAUUUACUCAAUGUUAGUUUCAUGAGUAGGGUGUGUGUAUAUGCGUACGCAUGUAUGGUUUAUUACUCUGAAAAUUAAAACAUUCCAAUUGAGGCGACUUUAAAAAACCCUUAACAACGUCUGUGGUCAUACAGGAUGCCCGUAGGAUUAGGUGCUCCGAAUACUUCUUCUAAUAAGGAAAAGUUAAAGCAGUCGCAUGGAAGGUGCUUUGUUGUACGAGUUUGUCCACAGUUGCAGAUUGGACAAACAGAUUUUUAAGGAUCCAUUGGUGUGCUGCAGUUCGAUGGCCAAAACGAAUUUUCGCAAAUGUUUUAAGCUUGACUUUGUCCGUAUUAGUUGGAUGUAGUGAAAGAAUUAAGUGAGCAUUAACGGAGGAGCUGUGCUGACGGUGGUCCAAUUUUUCCACGAUAGUGUCCUUAACUAGAGGAGCAAAAGCAGCAGAUUUCGCCGCUCGAUCAACUUAUUCAUUGCCGAAUAAACGAAAAAGGCUGGAUGAGCGACGCAGUUUAAUCUUGUUACCGCAUGUUGUGAUAGUGCUCCUUAAUUUGUUGGUGGAACUCCAGUUGGAAGUCCAAGUGUUUCAAAGAGGUUUUAACACGGUCUCUCACCAUCAACCAUCAGUCCCAACCGUCACAAAAGAUAUGUCAUUGCAAACAAAUGUACAGCCAAUAGUGCAGACGUACUCGACUUUUUCAACCGGUCUUCAAUCCCAUGAGAAACAGGGGGUGAAAACUAUAACCACAGCAAAAGCAGAUCCAAGUUACACGUCAGCUAUGGUUACUUCGAAACCAUCAGAUACUACCGAAGCGGUGACAACAUCCACCACGACGGGAAAUAUAGUUAUAACCAAUGCAGAUAGCCUUGAUAAUGCAACUCUGUUAUCAUUUUCAACACGUCCCACAGAAGUGUAUUCAUUUCAUGAGCAAAUUAUUAUGUCUGGUCAACAGAAAUGUUCCAUGCCAGAGAAACCGAAACCAUUAGUUGUUUCGCCGCAACAAGUCAUGAUAUUGUACAUGCAUAAAUUGACGCCAUAUGAGCGCACUGAAAUUCUUUCUUAUCCACAGAUUUAUUUUAUAGGUGCUAAUGCAAAGAAACGUCCCGGCAUUUUUGGGCCCAAUAACUCUGACUAUGACAACGACCAGGGUGCCUAUAUACAUAUACCACAUGACCACGUUGCCUAUCGUUAUGAAAUGCUAAAAAUAAUCGGCAAAGGAAGCUUCGGACAAGUAGUGAAAGCCUAUGAUCACAAAACGCACGAACAUGUUGCCUUAAAGAUGGUACGAAAUGAGAAGCGUUUUCAUCGGCAAGCACAAGAGGAGAUACGCAUAUUGCAUCAUUUACGACGUCAAGAUAAAUACAACACCAUGAAUAUUAUACAUAUGUACGACUACUUCACAUUUCGGAAUCACAUGUGCAUAACAUUUGAAUUGCUUAACAUUAAUCUUUACGAAUUAAUAAAAAAAAAUGGUUUUAAAGGAUUUAGUUUGCAGUUGGUACGAAAAUUUGCCCACUCUUUGCUCCAAUGCUUGGAUGCUUUGUAUAAAAAUGAGAUCAUACAUUGUGACAUGAAACCAGAAAACGUUUUGCUAAAACAACAGGGUCGUUCAGGAAUUAAGGUUAUCGAUUUUGGCUCAUCGUGUUACGAGAGUCAACGUAUUUACACGUACAUACAGUCACGCUUCUAUAGAGCACCAGAGGUAAUACUGGGUGCAAAGUACGGCCGCGCGAUUGACAUGUGGUCGUUGGGUUGUAUUUUGGCCGAAUUGCUGUCGGGACACGCGUUAUUUCCUGGCGAAAAUGAAGCCGAUCAAUUGGCGUGUAUUAUAGAAGUUUUAGGCAUGCCUAAUAAAAGCGUGCUAGCCACUGCAAAACGUACCAAAGUAUUUUUCAAUCCCGAAGGUUAUCCACGUUACUGUACCGUUCGAACCAUGGCUGAUGGCAUGGUAGUAUUAAUUGGGGGACAAUCGAGACGUGGCAAGCAGCGAGGUCCACCUUGCUCGAAAAGUCUAUCUAAAGCGAUCGACGGUUGUAAAGACGCACUAUUUUUAAAUUUUAUACGCGGUUGCUUAGAAUGGGAUCCCGAAAAACGCUUAACACCAAGCGAAGCAUUGAAACAUCCUUGGCUUCGCCGCCGAUUGCCCAAGCCACCUAACGGUACAAAUAGUAUUAUAUGCAGUCAAAGCAGCAAUGGCAGUAACAUUGUCUGUGAUGAAAAGCCGGCUUCAGCAGCAGCACAAUCAGGCUUAUGUGGAGGCGAAGAAAAUAAUCUAUUGAAUAAUGCUGUUACUUCAAAAGACAUUAGCAAAAGUAGUGGAUGCUUUGUGGCUACCGCUGCAGGUGCUGCGAAGAAUGCAGUUGUAUUCAAUUCAUCCUCUAUUUUAUCUAUUGCUUCAGAACCGCUCUGGGAGUUGAACACAGCGUCCGUCGGUAGUAUUGUUGGUCAUCGAUCCAUAGCCGCUGAAUUGUCUGACACGUCUCGGUCUAUCAACUUAAACAGCGUAAUUUCUACAAAUAAUUAUGGUAUGCGGAUAUUUGAUUCAAAUUAGAAAUCAAUAGCCACAGCAAUGCGACCAGCCAGACCGGUUUAUCGCAUGCAGCUAAUUUUGAAACAAUACAAUAAACCAACCCGAUAUUUACGUACAAUAUGUUAUAACAGCUGUAAAUUGAAUAUAAAAUAAAUUCUAAACGCACUUGCUUACUUACAAAUAGGUUGACCAUCACAAAAAGUCUUAAAUUUGAGAAAGCUUCUGAUCAACUGUGUAUCAUUAAUCUUUCCAUACAUCACCAUAUACCGUCGCUGUACUGAUAAAGCGUUAGGAAGCAACAAAUAAAAACUCAUCAUACUACUGAAUACGUUGGUAUUAUCGCCAACAGACCUAACGCAUUUUACUAAAGAAAAUGAAAAAAAAAUCCUUGUUAAAGCAUGGCAGGUGCAAGCUUCGAGAGCAAAGUUGCUUGAUGAAAACGGAUGCAGAAAUGGUUAGAUCUAAUACGUGGUAAAAAGAUGAUCGCAGGAGAAAAAGCAGAAAAAUCGAGUGUAAUGUGUGAAAGAUGAGAUUUAAGCAGCAAAAUAUUGGUUUUAUUAAAAUCAUAAUGCUUAAGUUGGAUUUGACACAUUAGAAUGGUGUGGUUUUAUUAUGCCUUUAAUGAAAGGAAGCACAAAUUGCUGAGUGACAUGGAUUCGCAGGUAAACUAAAAGAUAGAGAGUGAUUUACAACCACCUGUGGGAAGUUGGCGAAGCAAAGAUCUAGCGGUCUGCCAUUACGAUUAGGAGUACGAUUGUAUUUAAAUAAAUUAUGAUCAUAUAGUUUAUUGAAGAACACAAGGGAUAUAGGAGUAAAUUACGUAUAACUGUUUUUUUUGGCAAUUUUCGGUCGACUGGCAAUAAAUUCAACGUUACGAGUAGUAGCAAAUUCAGAUGAAUGGAACGGAACUGCAGCAAAUAUGGCAAUUAAAUAGUAUCACCAGUGCUAUCCACUCGAUUUUUUCAGAAAAUCUGGAAAGAAGCUGCUCCAACAAAAGUAAUUCAGGCUUUAACCAGGCUUCAGUGAAAUCCAAACAGAAAAACAUCGUGGUCAAUGAAUUUAGGAGAGAAGGGCGAAUUUUUGAGUUAAAGCCCGUAAAAUUUUGGUAAAUAAAAGUUAAUGGGCCUGAAGCAACAUUUAGUUUUUUGAGGAUGGAAGAGCUACUGAAUUACUAUUUCGGAGUUGAUCCUGAGUUGAUGAAGCAAGAUAAUAUUUUAUGGUAUUCUUAGAGGUGUCAGGCGCCACUCUUGACACGAAUAUUGCUUUUCUGUAUGGUACUGCCGUCAAGCAAACGUCACUUAUAUUAGAAAUGAUAGAAUGCACAGGUAGAGAAUUUUGAGUAGAAGAGAAAGUAGAGGGAGUGACUACACUUGUUUAUGCAACUUGUGUGAAUUGUCCAGUUGGAUGCCCAGUGGACACACCCGAGCAGCUAGGGAAGAGGCUGAUUUAUUGUCUUUGUUUGAAGAUGUAAAUAGACUAGCAUAGUAAUAGACUCAGCACAGUUGACAUGAGGAGGGUUUUUAGGCUUAUUUGUAAUAUUUUUAUUACUUGCUAAGUUUACGACAGACAAAAAGCUGAUGUUCUUUAUAGGCAGGCAUGAACACUCGAAAUCUUAACCGGAUUCACUAAAGGCAGAUCUCCAAGUUUUAUCGUUAACGUUUAUCGAGCAUUAUGGAUAGGCGUGCAAGAUUAAGCCGAAGACGUAGGUGAAGUACCAGACGCUAUAUUAUAACGUAGUCUUUCACAGGGUGAAGGAGAAGGUAAGUGCAAUAGCACGAAAUUCGUAUACUUGAUAUAUUCAUCCAGUUCUUGUUUAAAUUUGCAUCAACGGAAACACAUACACUUUGGUUACUGACGCUGAUAAGCGUCGUUUCCACAUUCACAUCACUUAUAAAGAGAAUGGAAUGAUUAUUAAUAUUAAAGAAACCCGAAUUUCCGUUGGCAAGUCUAUAAGCCUACCGCCGGAAUUGCCGGCGUACUAGUGCACUCAUUAUACGAUGUUCUUCACCGCAGACUGCGGGGGUGGUUCCAAAAAAACUUAUUUCAUCUGUUUGCUAACGUAUAAGUUAAAUCGGGCCGACAGACGUCAAUUUAAAUUUACAGUCGAACCUUCAUUUGUCUUAACAUUCCUCACUAUUGGCUACGGGCCUCGAGCGCAAAGUAUAUAUGCAACUAACUAUAACAUAUAGUGGUUAAAGAAAUGUAUAUAAUAAUAAUUUUAAUUAACAAAAAAAAAAAAAUUAAAACUAAUUAACAUUAAUAGGUAAUAAAGAAAAAUUUAAUCAUUUAAAAAGGAUUCAGCUGUCCUCCCGUCCCAAUGAUUUAGUUGAGGGACGGGUGUUGACCGUAUUGUAGCAUAAUAAAAACAAAAAUGGAAAAAUAAACCUUUUAUAAUCCAUCUCAAUAUUUCAAUUAACCAAAAAUAAACUGCAAACCUUUUGUUAUGUAAUAGAGAGUACAAGUUGUACUUAAACAUUUUCAUCAGCAAAAUUUCGUAGGUGGCGUUAUUUAGGUCUCAGUAAAAAAAAACAAAUUUGGCAAUUGUGAUAUGUGUGUCACUGGUUUUUCGGAUUACCUCUGUUGAACACCUACAUUCCACUUUUUAUCGAGCAGUCUGCAGAUGGUGACACUCGAGAAGUGCACGUGCGAAAAACGCCUUUAAGAAUCCUUACGGAAUGAUGGACGCAACUUAUCACAUUGGCUGAUCAUAAGAACUGAGCCACUCUACACCUCGCCCUACCUAUGAUCUGCUUCGGUCCAUGAUUUGUAUUGGGGAUCCCGAAAAUGGGUUCUCAAACCCUUACACUGCUUUCCUUUCAUUAAUAAUAAAUAACUCAACAUAUUUUUAUUCACAUAAAACAGGUUGAUUUAUCAUGAUUUUGUAAUAAUCGUAGUAAAAGAAGAUGUGUGUAAGACCUUGUAUAAUUUAUAAAAGCCAUAAGUUAAAUCGAAGAAGAAAAAAAAUUACAAUAAUAAACGAAUAAAA